GGGAGCCGUAUGAGCUGAGAGGUUCACGUACGGUUCUGAGAGGGACUUAGGGGGAGGUUCUCUAAGUCUACUUACUUUGUGAUAUUAUGCAAGAAGUUAUCUCAAG
rnacentral:autocatalytically_spliced_intron from 1 species